AAGCUACCUACUUCUUUUGCAACCCACUCCCAUGGUGUGACGGGCGGUGUGUACAAGGCCCGGGAACGUAUUCACCGUAGCAUUCUGAUCUACGAUUACUAGCGAUUCCGACUUCAUGGAGUCGAGUUGCAGACUCCAAUCCGGACUACGACAUACUUUAUGAGGUCCGCUUGCUCUCGCGAGGUCGCUUCUCUUUGUAUAUGCCAUUGUAGCACGUGUGUAGCCCUACUCGUAAGGGCCAUGAUGACUUGACGUCAUCCCCACCUUCCUCCAGUUUAUCACUGGCAGUCUCCUUUGAGUUCCCGGCCGAACCGCUGGCAACAAAGGAUAAGGGUUGCGCUCGUUGCGGGACUUAACCCAACAUUUCACAACACGAGCUGACGACAGCCAUGCAGCACCUGUCUCAGAGUUCCCGAAGGCACCAAAGCAUCUCUGCUAAGUUCUCUGGAUGUCAAGAGUAGGUAAGGUUCUUCGCGUUGCAUCGAAUUAAACCACAUGCUCCACCGCUUGUGCGG
rnacentral:rRNA from 1 species